CAGCAGCCGCGGUAAUACGAAGGGGGCUAGCGUUGCUCGGAAUUACUGGGCGUAAAGGGAGCGUAGGCGGACAUUUAAGUCAGGGGUGAAAUCCCGGGGCUCAACCUCGGAAUUGCCUUUGAUACUGGGUGUCUUGAGUAUGAGAGAGGUAUGUGGAACUCCGAGUGUAGAGGUGAAAUUCGUAGAUAUUCGGAAGAACACCAGUGGCGAAGGCGACAUACUGGCUCAUUACUGACGCUGAGGCUCGAAAGCGUGGGGAGCAAACAGGAUUAGAUACCCCUGUAGUCCCUGUCUCUUAUAC
rnacentral:rRNA from 1 species